GGAACCUGAAGGAUCUGGAGAUGGGUCCACCCUUCACCAUCAGUGGUCACAUCAGCAGCACAGAUGGUGGCUACAUGAAGUUCUCCAACGGGCUAGUCUGAUGCAGAGACAGCAACUUGUGAAGCCCUGGGGAGAUGAGAAGACUGAGGCCCAGAACUGACAUGACAGUUUCAUGUGGAGAGAACAGAAAGUGGCUGAGCAUUCUUUCUACUCCCUGGGGCUGUUGCCUCUUCCUCUUUGCCUUUGGAGCAUUUCCAGACCAACAAGCUUGCUGCGGCAGUCCAUCCGGCCAUUCGCAUAUUAUAGCAUACCAUGUGCGGGGUGUCCCUGGAGCUGUCAGUGCUGCAGAAGCAGUUGGAAGUGGAGUCAGUGAGUCUUUCAAUUCUUUCAAAAAGUUGAUUGUGAAGGAUGGGAGAGAAGGUGGUGCUGGCCAGUAAGUUUUCAGAACCUUUGUCUUGUCUUCCCCAAGGAGGCCUCCCAGAAAGCGCCAGCUGGGCCAAAUGCCCGCUCUCCACACGCCAUCGACCCCUGUGCACAUCCCCAUGACAGCCCAUACAGUCGGUGCCUCCCGUCCUCCUGGCCUGACAAAGUCUCGUCUGCAGUGCCCACUGCCUGCCAUCUGCUUACUGCCCAGCUCCUCCAGUUCUGGGGGAGCCCAUGCAGCUCUGUGCACUGCAUCAGGAGGACUGCGGUAUGGAGAUUAGACUGAGGGAGCAGGAGUGGAUGCAGAGGAGCAGGACAGAGCCUCAUGGUGGUCCAGGGGAGAGGUGAAGAUGAAUUUGACCAGAUGACAGUGGGAGGUGGUGACAAGUGAUUGGAUUCACCAUCUAUCUGGAAGGUAGAGCUGAUAGGACUUACUAAGGAGUUUGAUGGGGCAGAAAGGGCUGACUCCUGGAUUUUUGGCCUGAACUAGGGGAAAGGUGGUGCCAUUUAUCAGGUGGGGAAGACUAGGGGAGGAAGGAGUGUCAGGGGAAUCAUGAGCUCUGUUGUAGACACUAUAAUUUUGAGAUGUAUGCUGGACGGAGCUGCUGAUGAGGCAGCUGGAUAGAGUUCUGGAGAGAAACCCUGUUUGGACAUUUGGAAGCCACCAGCAUCCAGAUAACACUUAAAGGUGUGGACUGGGUGAUAACAAGUAGGGGGCAGUGAGGAGAAAAAGGACUGAUUUUAAUAGAACAAGCAGCGAAUCAACAAGUUGUUCCUUAAAGAGGUGACUCAGUGUGUGCUGGAAUCACCUGCAAUGUGGUCGCUAUAAGUUGUUUCCCUAGCAGGUCCUUGGGAACCGGUAUUCAGAAAUUCUGGGCCUUGGGGAGCAGCUUAGGAAGACAAAUACUCCCAUGUAAUUCUGAUAGAGGCAAUCUUCUGAGAAACUCUGCCUUAGGGGACAGGUAGAGGGGAUGUGGGGAGGUGGAGGGCAAGGGUCACUUCCAGGGCUGGGGUGACCAGAUAGUAGGAUUCUGAAGAAUGUUCCUGUUCUCUCCAGGGUCACUGUGAGGUCUUAAUCUCCACCACGCCCUUCUGCCCCAUGUGGGUAGAGGUAGACAGGUGUGGCACCCUACACCCAGGCCUUUGCAGAUCAUGUACUAGUCUGUACCCCUCCCUGAGCCUCUCAGCUCUACAGAUUAGACAACUUACUAAAGGGAGCCCUCAGCUGCACCCUUGAUGAUGGGCUGUGAUUGACCAAGGAGCCCCAGUGAGGCUCCUGGCUGGGCUCUGCAAGACAGAUGCCAAACACAGCCGUGGCUCCUGUGACUCGAUGAGUUGAAGGGAUGGCAGCCUGCUUUUCCUCAAGGCAGGAAGUCAUCGCGUGAAUAUUCUAACUGUAUUGGCUGCAGGGGUUUGGGGAUCUUCUCCAAGCCGGCGUCCUUACCUUCACACUAAGGGCUAUGAGCUCAUUCACUCUCACAUGGGAAUCCCUAACCCUGAGCCUCACAGAUCCAGGCCAGCCUUGCCAAUUGCUGAAAGACCUUUUCUUGGAUGACUUGUCAUUAUUAAGCCAGAACUCAUCAUCUCCCCUCUCCCUCCACACCUCUGUCUCCCUUCCAUGUCCAUAUUUCGCUUUUCUCAUCAUCGGGUUCAAGUGUGACUAGCACUUCUGAGACCUCCUUCUUUCACUCCAGCCUGUUGCCCCAUCUUGAUAAUGCUUCCUUUAAAAUGUCUUUGAGUCUGUCCCUUUCUCUCUGUUCCCACUGCCCCUGCUCAAUACUGUCAUUUGAUUAGACUAUUGUAUAAGCCUCUCUUAUGAACUGAAUAUUUUUGUCUUCCCCAAAUUCAUGUUGAAGCUGUCACUCCCAAUGUGACGGUAUUUGGAGGUAAAGCCUCUGGGAGGUAAUUGGUUUAGAUGAGGUCAUGAGGAUGGGGCCUCCAUGAUGGGAUUAGUGCCCUUGUAAGAAAGUGGAAGAGAGACCAGAGUUCUUUAUCUCCACCGUGUAAGGCCACAGCAAGAAGGAGGCCGUCUCCAAGCCAGGAAGAGAGCCCUCCCAGGGAACUCACUCAGCUGGCACCUUGAUCCUGCACUUCCCCACCUCCAGAACUGUGAGAGAUAAAUGUCUGUUGUUUAAGCCACCCAGUCCAUGGUGUUUUGUUAUAGUAGCCCAGCCUAAGACAGCCUCCUACCCUGUUUCUCUGCCUCCUGCCUCAUCCUUCAUGUGGAAUACUAGUUUCUUUCACAUCACUUAUCACUGAUUGUAGUAAUACGUUUGUUGUGUUUAUUUGCUUGGUGUUUAUCUUCAUAACCAGAUGACAGGCUCCAUGAAGCCACACUUGUUUGGUUCACCACUCUGUACCCAGGGCUGCACACCAUGUCCAACACAUAACAAGUGCUUCGUAAUGUUUUUUGACAAAAUGAAAUGCUGACUACAAUAAAAGUCUCCAGCCAGGUCUCUUUGCCUCCUGCCCCAUCCUUUCUGAUUCAUGUCUGAUGCUUUGGAUAGAGCCAUAUUCUUAAAACACAAGUUUUAUCCUACCCAGUCCUUCUUCGGCAGAGUGUUUAUUGGGUCCCACAACCCUUUUUGGAGGUUUAUGGGAAAUUAAGUGAAGUUAGGAUCGAGAUGAUAGUGGGAAAAUGUGCUGUGUGUCAUUAAUAACAAUGCAUUUAAUUUUAAAUUGGGGUUUACUUCAAACCCAAAACUGUGGGUUUGCUUUUUUAACCCAUGAGCACAACAGGAAAUGAAUGAGUCAAGCUUCCUAGUAUCUAGGGUCCUCUAGGUUGAGGCUUGAUCAAAUCAGCCCUGACUGCCCAGACCUGCCACUUAGGCAGCAGACCUGUCAGUGGUCCCAGGUGGUCACAGCCUACAGCUUCCCUUGCUGUGCUGUUCCCAUGUGGGGCUCAGAGACCUUCCACCCAGCAGAGCAG
rnacentral:lncRNA from 1 species